rnacentral:sRNA from 1 species
AAAAGCGUCGCCCCACCGCUGACGGCCGGCAACUUUCUGCAACAAUUAACUAUAGCGCCUGGACAUGGAUAGCUACCACCUUAAUGUCCAGAACAAUCUUUAAACUUAAAAACUACAUAUAAAUACAUUUUUAGAUGGGUUCUGGGAGAAUCCGGAGGCGCCUUACGUGCAAUGUAGCAUUUGAUCUUUUCCGGACCGUUAUUCGCAGAGCUUUUUUCAUUGGUGAUAAGUCUCAACACAAUAAACUCCCUUGAAAUGGAAUACGGCCGUAAACAAUCAUCCUGACGACCAUGGAACCUCGCAACACGUAACACUCCCAUGCCUGGAAACGCCUUCUGGACUAUUAUCUUCUGGACAGAACCCCUGUCCCUGUUUCAUACGGAAAUCGUGGUCAGCUUUUCAAAUUUCAACCAUUUUAACCGCGCUAUAAACAAAAACAGAUGGACGGUGCUGGAAAAUGGCAAUGGAUCCAAUCGCGAUAGGUCGUGUGUUGGAAAACGUAUUCGCAGCUAUCGAUCGCCGGGCCUAUCGAUACUUGUGUGUUGGAAAACACUUUCGUAGUGUUGAAAAACGCCGUUUCUACUAUCGAUUGUCAGUUCUAUCGAUAUUUUUGUGUUAGAAAACACUUUUGGACGUGUGUUGAAAAACGCCGUUUCAACUAUCGAUUGGCGGCUGUAUCGAUACUUACAAAAGCUCAAGCGAGAAUGUGUUGGAAAAUACCUACGACAACUAUCGAUAGCCUUCCAUUCUAAGCCCGGAUUACUGGAAUGUUUUCUAUGGCGUCUCUUGAAAAUCUCGGCGGAAAAUUGCGAAUCCAAUGGAGCACUACAGUUUACUGCCAAAAAUUACUUGGAUAAGCUUUUGAUUACUGAUCGCCUGAGCUACAGGAGGAUACAAGAGAAGGACAACUCUGAAAAUGGAAAGAAUGACAAUGAUCGGACGGCGCAAAAUCGACGGAGCUGCACAUCUUUCAAAUGGACACUGAACGCUUAAUCAUAAUAUGCGACAACGCGAUAAUUUUCUUGCAUUUCGUUUACUGAACGCCGAGUUAAAGAGAUUCAGAGGGAAUAUCAGGGUUACGAAUCGAAUAGUACAACGGUGUUACACAGUCAAGUGCGGCACCUGGACGAGGAAAGAUGGUUUCGAAAUCUGCUAAGAUUGCCAGUAGGACCCUCCUAAGCAUAGACAAUCUUCAAAUAUUUAAAAAUAUCAUAAAAACGAUGCCAGGAGACGAAGAUGAUAAUUGCCUACUGGGUCCGUAUGGUGGUUAAGAAGACGACUGGCCUUUCGAGGACCUAACGGAGGACCGAAAAAGCGGAAUUCCAGAUUCUCAGUGGAAGCUAUAUUUUGUGCCCCAGCGUUAUGGUACAAUGCAGCUUGUAGCAGCUACCGUUUACUGAUCGCCGAGUUGAGAUCGACGGAGUAACCCGGCCUUAUAACAAGUUUUAGGAGCCACUGGAGUUCCAGGAGAUAAGGGAGUUCAUCAUUAAAAGCAGUUUAUGCUCCCACUUAUCCCGCUUGAAGAGCUUUUAAGCACCACUAUUCUGGUUAUCAAAGGACACCACAUCAUUAGCAUCAUCUCCUGUCAACACCAGCAUCACGUCCGUCACCUCCAAGCGGCGCAAAAUCUAUAGAAAUAGCAAAAAUAUAAAAAAUUUCAAUUUUUAUUUCAAUUUCAAUUUUAAAUUCAAACGAAAUUCUUGGUCCUUUUCUAUAAUCCUCAUCUGAUUUCGACGCAAAAUGUCUUUGUGCCGAUUUACCAAAAACAAAAUGUAUUUAUCGGCCAAAACGGUAUUAGUCCAGCUUCGAUUUUUUCUGUUAAUAAAGCACAUUCUUGGUCU